rnacentral:misc_RNA from 1 species
CCAAAGAAAUACCGCCAUACCGGGUGAGCGAAGCUUUUCUCUUUCCCGAUGGUACGCGAAACAGCCUGCCUAUUAGCUGAGGCUAACCAUUUCUCUUCAACGCGUUUGGAUCGGAUCACCAUGACUGAUCACAAUGAUCGGACGGACGAUUUCCUCAGCGAGGCCUGGCUCGAUCGCCGUCAGCUGAUGCUCGGCGCGGCAGCGGCUGGCACCAGCGGGCUUCUAUCGGCGAUCGCUGCUUGCCCGGCGCUUGCACAAGGGAAGCGCGGCGGAACUCUGCGCUACGGCUUUGGCGAUUCCGACUCCGGCGAAAGAUUGGAUCCGGCGCGAACCAAAAACGGCGCCGGCAUCGAGUUGAUGCAUAUCAUCUAUGAGCCGCUGGUUCGCCGCGGCAAGGACUGGAAAUUCUUUCCCUAUCUCGCCGAGUCGUAUGAACUCGCCAAGGACUCGAACACCUGGACAUUCCGCCUCCGCAAGGGUGUGAAGUUCCACGAUGGUUCUCCGAUCACCGCAAAAGACGUGAUCUACACGCUGAGCCGCCUUAUCGACGAGAAGCUCGGAUCGUCGGUUCGCGCGCGUCUGAAAGGCACCUACAAUGCAGAUAGUUUCGAGGCGGUGGACGACUAUACCGUCAAGAUCCACAUGCUCCGCCGCGAUACGAUGCUCGAUCAACCGCUGUCCCGCUACAAUUGUGGCAUCAUCAAAGCUGGCACCGUGCCGGGAACGGACCCGGCAUCGGCCAUCGGCAGCGGCCCGUUCAGGGUGACCGGCUUCGAGCCCGGUCAGUCGUGGCAAGUCGUGCGAUUUCCGGACUACUGGCAGAAAAGCCUGCCCUAUCUCGACGGCAUUCAGUGCGUCCACAUUCCAAGCCAGACGGCGAAAGUGCAGUCAGUUGUUUCAGGCGCCGUUGACCUAAUCGAUCCGGUUGAUUCAGUCGUCGUCAAACAGCUCGCGAAGGAUCCGCGGGUCCGCGUCGAGCCGCUGCCGCACGCAAUGUCGUGGUGCAUCUUCUUCAACCACAAGAUCAAGCCAUUCGACGAUGUUAGGGUCCGCCGCGCGAUCAAGCUCGCCGUCGAUCGCAAGCUUAUUCUCGACACGGUCUAUCAAGGCCUCGGCGUCAUCACGCCGGAUGUCCCCUUGCCACCCGGCGAUC